CUCACUUCUUCGGCUGUUUGACAACAUGACGCUUGAUGACAGUCACAACAACAUCACGCUAAACUGCAGAUUAUUUGCUUGUUAAAGCUCUAAAUGUCACUAAACCGCACAUAUUUCAGCUCAGCUGCAAACGAAACCAACACACUGUGGGAUAAAACGCUGGAAUCGAGUGUCAUGCGACUCACCUAGUAAGGGAUGUGCUGUGGAUUGUAAAGCAGCGCUCUGGGACGUGUGGACAGACAGUGACUGUAAUGAUGCUCAUCUGCUCGUGGACAGGUGAUGUAUCUCAUGUGUGAAUGUGUUCUAGUGC
rnacentral:lncRNA from 1 species